rnacentral:lncRNA from 1 species
CGGAUAUUUCCAUUUAGGGUGUGUUUGUUUGGGUGAAAGUGAGGGGGAAGUGGAGAGGGGGAAGUUGUUUACGCCGUAAGCUAUCACUUCCGUUGUUUGUUUUACCGUAAUUUUAUUACGGCUGAAAGUAGAGUUCAUCAAAAAUAGGGUAAUUGACUUCGCCCUCCCACGGGGCCAAGUCAAUUCCGAUGAAGUGCAAAGAGGCAAAGGAGCUUGUUAAAUUUGGUUAGGUAAUGUGAUCAAAUUUGGUUAGGUAAGUUUUCAUAUAUUUUUUUGUCUAAUUUAUAUAUUUAGAAAAUGAUGAAAAAUGAAUUUAUUAAAUGUUAAUAAUUUUUUAACUUUAGAAUUUUAUUUGUUGCAUUAUUAUAAUUUAUAUGCAAACAAAUAAUAUAAUUUUUUAAAAUUUUAUUUUAUAAUUAUACAUAUAUAUAUAAUUAUAUACAUAUAUAAUUUGUGUUGCUCUGAUUAUUAAAUAUAAUUUUUUAAAAUUUUAUUUUAUAAUUAUACAUAUAUAUAUAAUUAUAUACAUAUAUAAUUAUAUUAAUUUUUAUUUAUUAUAAUUUAUUAUUCACUAAGUUACAAGAUAGACAAUAAUAUUAUUUCGGAGAUAAGUAUAUCGGGGGUGGAGAGCUGCACAUUUUACGUCAUCUACUUCCUACCAAACAAACAACAGAACUUACAGAACUGCACUUCCACAGUUAGAAACAAAUAGCGAAAGUGAAUUAAUUUUCACCUAAAUUCCACUUUAAUCUCAAGUUCACUUCAAUCCCAAGUCUACUUACAUUAAAACAAAAAUGCCCUUAGCUUCCACGGGCCAUAGACAACAU